AGAGUUUGAUCCUGGCUCAGGACGAACGCUGGCGGCGUGCUUAACACAUGCAAGUCGAACGGAAAGGCCCUUCGGGGUACUCGAGUGGCGAACGGGUGAGUAGCACGUGGGUGAUCUGCCCUGCACUUUGGGAUAAGCCUGGGAAACUGGGUCUAAUACCGGAUAGGACCACGGCCUGCAUGGGUUGUGGUGGAAAGCUUUUGCGGUGUGGGAUGGGCCCGCGGCCUAUCAGCUUGUUGGUGGGGUGAUGGCCUACCAAGGCGACGACGGGUAGCCGGCCUGAGAGGGUGACCGGCCACACUGGGACUGAGAUACGGCCCAGACUCCUACGGGAGGCAACAGUGGGGAAUAUUGCACAAUGGGCGCAAGCCUGAUGCAGCGACGCCGCGUGAGGGAUGACGGCCUUCGGGUUGUAAACCUCUUUCAGUACCGACGAAGCGCAAGUGACGGUAGGUACAGAAGAAGGACCGGCCAACUACGUGCCAGCAGCCGCGGUAAU
rnacentral:rRNA from 1 species